UACGGGGGGUGCGAGCGUUGUCCGGAAUCACUGGGCGUAAAGGGCGCGUAGGUGGUUGAUAAGGGUGUGGUGAAAGUCCGGAGCUCAACUCCGGAUCUGCCGUGCCGACUGUCAAACUCGAGGGCUGUAGAGGCAGACGGAAUUCCGGGUGUAGCGGUGGAAUGCGUAGAGAUCCGGAAGAACACCGGAGGCGAAGGCGGCUUGCUGGGCGUGAUCUGACGCUGAGGCGCGAAAGCGUGGGGAGCGAACAGG
rnacentral:rRNA from 1 species